GGCCACAUCACGUCGAAACAUCAGUUCCCGUACGAUCAUCGAAGUUAAGCAACAUCGAGCCUUGUCAGUACUUAGAUGAGUGAUCGUUUAGAAAUACCAGGCGCUGUAUG